GUUGACCUAAUCAGAAGCCCAGCUGAUCCCAAUUAAUCCCAGGGUGCUCACGGUGCUGCUGAGUCUAGUGUGUCAAAUCCUCCAUACAUUAGUGACAUACAUCUGUGGGACUCCUGAAUUGCUCAGAAAGCAGUCGAAGAACAGAAACAGGUCUGUCACAGAAGAUAAAAAAGAGCUCUGGAUAAAAGCUGCUCUGACACCUACGCACAUCUGGAGAGUCACAGUGUGAAGUGGGUUUGACUGGUAGAUUGUCAAAGCCUGUACCUGAUUUCAUUUGGAGCGUCUUCUUCUUCAUAUUUCUUCAUCUCCUUCUUGCGACACACCAACCAGAUGAUGAUGAUAAUGAGAAGGACGCCGAAGGAAACGCCAACCACCGCACCUGCCACCACGCCCAUUCCUCUCACAUCUACACAAGGCAAAACAGAAGAAAAGAAAAAUGAAGAAGUACACCAGGAAGGAGACUGCAGUCAACGGAGAGUCCUCACAACGAGUACUGCGACAGUAUUUCAGACUGUUCUCUUAAACAGCAGCGUUCUCUGAGUUACUCUUUGUGCCAAGUCGUGCAGUGUGUGGCUGUGCAGUAUUCACUCACAGUGCAUCUUAACCUCCACUGUGCAGCUCUCCUCUCCCACGUCAUUGGUGGCUGUGCAUUUGUAGACUCCAGUGCUGUCCUUGGUCAAGUUCCUCAAUGUCACAAUUUCGGGGUUUUUCAAAUCUAAAAAGACAACGACAGAACACUUAACUGUGAAUUAGUUCUAGGUUUUUUUAAACAUUAAACACAGAACAUAAUAAAAUUAAAUUAUCAUCUGUUUGUAAAAAAAAUGACACAAAGCUGAUUUGACUGUCAUCUCUACAGCCCUGGUAAUUGUACAAAAGCUGUCAGCAGAGAUAAAAGACAGGGGACCAAAGAAAGACACAGCAGCUGGCAGCUAACAGUCAGACAUAGUCAGCAAAAAAAAAUUCAAACUAAAUUAUAAUGUGAUGCCUAAGUAACACACUCCAUGAACCGAAUCCCUGUCCAUCUGGACUGGAUGACAAAGUCAGCAUUUACUAUUUUAUAAAAUAAAGUGUGUCAAAUCACA